CCGCUCUUAGGUGGAUGUGUAAAGCAUCUACACAGACGAAGCCGCGCUUCCGGGCUGCUCUUCGGGGCCUUUUAUGAAAAUGCUGGAAAGUUCUUGCAGGACCACAGAUUUCGGGCGUCUCUGCCGUAGGGUGCCACAUGUCCUGAUGCUGGCGCUGGUUUGGGGCCACCAGGAGAAGAGCGGAAGUCUCGUGCCCAACCCCCCGCCCUCCAAUCACUGAGACAACACCAGCAGCCACUUACCUGGAGAUGCGCUGUUAGAGGAGAGAAAAUGAAAGCCACGCUCUGUGCCGUCGGUUUCUGUUCCAGCUGAUGGAAAUCCCUGACUGAUGAAUGAAAACUAGAGGAAAAGCUCCAAGAGAACAGAACCGGGAGAGACGCUUUCCCCCCUCUCGAGGAGCACGGGGCGAUGCGUCUGGCCUGGGUUCGAGGUGCAAACCUGUUAUCUCGUUCUGUGCCCCUGAGCCAGUCACUCUGCCCCCCAAGGCCCACUGUCAAGGCAGGACCACCGCGCUCUGACUCCCCCAUGCCCACAACUGUCGUGAUGUCCUCCUGCUGUGCCGUGGGCCCCAGGACCCAGGUAUCAGAAGCACAGAUUUCCACCUCCCUCGCAGUUGCAGGCUGGGGGACAAAGGAGCACCCCUCUGGUGGGAUGGGCACAGUUCCAAAAGGAAAUAAGUAGCUGAAGUUAUUUCACGCACACCACAGCUCAAAGUCUGAUGACACGCGGCCAAUCCCUCUGCAGCGAGGCCUUUGGAAAUCGCAGUGUCCCCGGGAAGAGCCUCAGACACCUGCUGUGUCAUUUCCAAGACCGUCUUCUCCAGGAAACGGCACAGUGAGCAAGCCAGCUCAUCACCACAUUCCUGAAGCUCGUCUGGUUAUAGUCGGAGCCCCUAAAUUUGGCUUAGGAGCCUGCUUGACCCAGGGCUUCCUGGAGACCUAUGAUCUUGUGAAUACAAGACCGGGGCGGUGAUGCUGUACAGGGGUCAGUUUAGGAGGCAGCACCAUCCCGAGCUGCACGAGGCAGAGAACAGAAGGCACCCUUCGCGCCUCUCCUCCUCUCAUUCUUUGACUGGAGGACCUAAAACAGGUGGAAGACGCUGGCAGCCUGGCAGAACUGUGGCUGUCGCUGUCGGCAGGACCGACAGCUCAGAAGGAGCCUGCCACACACUCGACACCGAGUAACUUAUCAACCUGGAAUUCAACGAAUUUGCUAGUCACUGAGUUUUGGGUUUAAACAACUAAACAAAGCGCCUAAAAAACAAAAAAAAAAACCCAAAACAGAAACAAAAAUAAUUAUUGAUUUCAAGA